GGUAGAAGGAUCAGAGACAUUUCAUUCUUCACGCCUCACAGAUAGUUGGACUUUGCUUCGUUGUGUUCCUAGCAGCCCUUCUUCGCUUAAACAGGAAAAAACCAGGAGCUGAUGUUUCAGACGUUUAUUCGGUGCUGCUCCUUUGGGGCUGCGUGACGUGACUGUGCAUUAGAUGGUAGCAAAUGAAAACAUCUCAAUCAGUCCAGUUUGGCCGAUGUACAUGGCAGAGGGGCAUUGCUGGCACAUGAUGGCGUAUGUUACAUUGGUGGACGUGCAGGUGAAUGAACCGGUGAUGGUAUGGCUGAUCGUGAAGUCUACUUCCUAGACAACACGGUGCAAAUAAGUGACGGUCAAGUUAACACCACCCUAUACCGAAAACCCACCGACCGCUAUGCCUACCUUCAUGCCUCCAGCUUCCAUCCUGGACACACCACACGAUCCAUUGUCUACAGCCAAGCACUGAGGUACAACCACAUUUGCUCCAACCCCUCAGACAGAGACCAACACCUACAAGAUCUUCACCAAGUAUUCUCAAAACUAUGAUACCCACAUGAGGAAAUAAGGAAACAGUUCAACAGAGCCAGACGUGUACCCAGAAGCCUCCUGCUGCAAGACAAGCCCAAGAAAGAAACCAACAGAACUCCACUGGCCAUCACAUACAGUCCUCAGCUAAAAUCUCUCCAAUUCAUCGUCAGUGAUCUACAACACAUCCUGGACAAUGAUCCCUCACUUUCACAGGCCUUGGGAGGCAGGCCAGUCCUCGCCCACACGCAACCUGAAGCAUAUUCUCACCAGCAACGACACACCGCACCAUAGUAACUCUAACUCAGGAAUCAAUCCAUGCAACAAACCUCGAUGCCAACUCUGCCCACAUAUCUACACCAGGGACACCAUCACAAGACUCUUUGCUGCAUAUGCUGAACUGUUAUUUUUAACUUUAAUCUAUGAAAGCAGGCAUAUAUUUACAAGAACAAGGAAAGAAAAACGUCCACUGGCUAAUGAUUUCAGAUGUCUGACACUGAAGAAUCAACCUUCAGUGAAACGAUUUCCAGACAACUUAAUUUUUCUUCUCUAUCAUCAUUAUUCCAAUAGUGCCCACAAUAUGGCUAGGCACUGUCCUUACAAACAGGAAGGUAGAGUCCUUGGCUCUGGAGAGCUUACAAACAUGAGAACCUCUUAUGCAAAGCCCUAUCAUGCUUUAAGAACAUUUUAAUUGGUAUUUGGAUGCCAAGUCUACAGCACACACAAGAAUCCUUUGAUAACCUAUUCCCCCGCCCCUUUGAUCUGCUUAUAUCUUCAAGUGCAGUGAUGGCAAAAGCUUCAGCAACAAUCUGUUGUACCCCAAGAAAAUUGUAUAUACAAUGACA